GAAUUUUUCUGCCCACCCACUCUACCAGCUAAUUUUCCGAAGACUAAUUAGGUUGUUGAAUAUUUUUUUAAAAUGCUCCACUUCCGGAGACAAAGAAAGGGUAUAGCAACCUGAUACUUGCUAUACAUAAAGAUUGGUAAGAGGAAAAAACCCUGUCAGGGAGGAAAUCUUAUUUUGCAGAGUGAAGUAGAGGAAUUAGACUUGACUAUUUCUGGAAUACGAACUUAGCUAGGCGAGGAGACUCUAUUUCCUGAUUUAGGGUUUUCCAUGGCCAAUCUCCACUGUGACCUCGUGGACAAAAAAUGAUUUUUGUUUUCUUCAGAGAAGAACAAGUAGGUGGUUGAUUUAGAGGCUGUUGGACUGGCUCAAUUUUCAGAACAAGUGAUUUACUGUGGAUCUUUCAGAAUUCCUCUUUUAAUAAGUUUUAUUUUUAAAGAAAAGCAAUGAUAACUGAGAUUUCUGGUCCUCUGACCAAGUAGAUGAAAGUUAUCAAAGGGCAAGCAGCACCAGGUUUCCUUGUCCCACUUGUGCCCAGAAGAAGAAGAAGAAGAAAUUCAGAUGCUGCUGAAGUCUAGCAAGGACACAGAGCCGCAGUGGUGUUUAGUUCCUGUUGAAGGUCAGCCUGCAACAAGCUUGGCAUCCAGGAAGCAAUUCAAUUCUGUUUAGAAAUCGUAUCUGCUCUUUCAGGAUAUUUUCUGCCUUGGUACUAAAACUCCUAAUGCGGUACCCCGAGCCAAAGACAACAAAUACCUUCGUGCACAGCAUCUCUCCACCCUCCCUCGCUCAGGCAGCUACUGUGAGGCAGUCACAGUGUUUGUUUAUGCUGAAGCAGAGCUACCACCAAAAAAAGCCUACCGUCUAAUAAAAAGGACAAAGAUCUUCGCAAGGGUUUAGCGUCCUGAAUCUGAUGUGUAGGGAAGACCUCAGGAUUCUCAUUUUCCAGACCAAUGAAGACGAGGUGACAUUCCAGGAACUAAAGCCAGGAAAGGAGACGACCCGUCCGUCCGGACUAGAGUAGAGGCAGC
rnacentral:lncRNA from 1 species